GUUUUAUUAAAGAAGCAUAUGGACAAGGAACUAUCUCUGAAAUGUUUUCAGAGCUUCUCUGGUGUUACAUGCAUAGUAAAUAUUUUCUUUAAAUUAGAUGAAAAAUAUGGAUCCCCAUCCAUGUACCUUUGCUCAACUGUCCUCAGACCAGGUUUUAAAACAGAGAAUUUAUUCAAGAAUCUCAGCUUCUGCUUUGCAAAUGAGUUGAAAGCUUAAGGAUUUGACCCCAACUUUCAAAAUCCAGAAUUCACCCUGCUGUUUCUCCAUGAGUCUGACCUGCAUCAACUGCCUCCCUUAUUCUGGGAUUCCAGUUGUGGAGCUCAAGGACAAGUCCAUUCUGGGCUGGCUGUAUCCAACUUCUUUAGUCCAACUAUAUCCCCACUGGAAGCCAGGCUCUUUCCAACAGCUGUCACCCAUGCCUCUUUCUAUGUUUGUUAUCUGUCUCUAGGUUCUGGUAACUACUUCCUUCCCUUGCCCCUUCUGGCCUAGGGUGCUACCAAUCCCUCCUCCAAAUCCAACUGUCACUAGCCUCAAAGUACUUGUAGCUUCCUCACCUUACUUUCACCUUAAUAAAUGGUCCCCCUACUAUCUCUCUUCAAAGCACCCAAUUUGAGUGUGCCAUCUGUUUCUUGCCAGGAUCCUGGUUGGUACAUCAACCAAGCUGCACUGAUGGAGGAGCACUGUGCUGAACUUUAGGAAUGAAGCCACAGGGCCCUCACUGCCCCCAUAGUCACCUUGGUCAUCUUCUGCCUCCCUGAAAGACUAAAUUCAGUCAGUUCAGAUACAUACACAUCCAGACAUGUCAGGGAAAACUCCAUUUUGUAAGGAUCUCUGCUUAAAAUGCCAAAAGUUUGAAAGUUGGCAAACACUUGAGAAAAGCACAGUUCUCUGUCUUACUCUUACUCUAAACUUGGAGAUAAAUGCAUUUUUAAAAUUGUGCAUGUUAGAGUGCUAACGUGUACAAGAUCAUUUCUGGUGAGACACCACAAACAAUAUUUUAUGAGGCCAAAAUAAGAAAGAAGGAAAUGAAAUAGCUCAGGAAUCUCAGGAAGAGCUCAUCGAACACUUUGCCUUUAUCUCAGACCAUUUUAUCCACAGCCCUGUUAAUCAGGAUUGGAUAUACCUCCAUGAGGGAGUCUUAAACGGAGGGAAAGAGAUGCCACAACUAAAAAAAAGAAUGCAAUAGAAGUUUGUCUUAAUGCCUGUUCUGUGAUGCACAACUUUCGUAAGCCAAAAUUUUAACCUUAUGAACAAUCAGUUCUGUGCUGCCCUUAGCAGAGAACCAUAAAUUAAAGAUAAGCAAUGGUUCAGACUUUCCAGGGCCUUGACUCAGGAGUAACUCUGAAAUCCCAACCAAAUAUGUAUUUGGUUAAGCAAUUUGGCACAUUUUUCUAUUUUGAGGCAUUAAACUAUAAUUACAAGUCACUUUUAUUUCAUUCCAAAUAAAUGUCCCUAAAGUAGAUAGAACUAGAGGUUUCCUUUUUUUAAAAAAAGGAAACAGGAAAACAACAAACAAAACCAAAAAGAACAAAAGCAAAACAAAACUUAGUCAAGCUAACAAAUUGCAUGUAUGGUGUGUUUUAUAAUUUAAUCAAUAUAAAAAAUUGAGUGUGCUAGUGCCUCAGGAGGACUCAGAGGACUCAAAUACUCAAUAGGUUAUCUGGAGGAAUUUCUCAUUGGAGAAAAAAAUUAAAGUUCUUUUGAACAACCCACAUAAUCAAGAUAGUAAUAAUUUAACCUCAAGUUUUUCCUUGAUUAAAAAAUCCCUUUGCUAUUCUGCUCCAGUGUUUGUAAUAGAUGGUUCAACAAGACUGGUGUUUUGUUAGUUGGAAAAGUAAGCUGAUAUGAGGGGUGGGGAGAGGAAGGGCAGAAAUUUAUUAACAAUCAGCAAGUAAAGAAAAACAGCCUGCAAAUUGUAAUGAAAGGAAGAAAGGACAGGAAAGGAAAGGUAGGGCUGGUGGAGAGUGACUGUUCUGCCUGCUUACUGCACAGGCCAAGAACAAACUCACGAUAAAUACUCCAGGUCCUCAAGAAAAAGGUUUCUGUGCUGAAUUAUGGUAGUCUACCUGAAAUUGGGAUGAUGAAUUAGAAAACCUCUCUCAUCGCUUCAAGUCUUGUGAUUUAUUCAUUCAGUGCCAUUUAUUGUAUAACUAUAUAAUUUCUAAAGGGGGAUAACUACAAGAAAAAGAUGUGAUUUCUUCUUUCAGAGAUCCCCAAAUAUAGAAAGCUAUUCAUAUACUGCUUAGAUAAACAAAGAUUAUCUUCUUUUUCUACAUUCUAUAUAAUGUUCCUUAAACUCAAGCUCUCUUCUCCCCAUCUCUACCUUACCCCUCUGGGUAGCAAGGAAAAAUAAAAAUAAUGUCAUUCAAUGGUUUCUUUGCCUCCUCUGAUUUAAACAGUCUAUUUUGAUUUCAGAUUUCUCUUUGAGGUAAAUAUUCCGGGAAUUCUAAAUUUAAGUCCUUAUUAUAGCGACUUCUUCCUUUCAAUUCUUACUUCUUUCCAACGUGGUGUCUGUCCUAGUGAUCCUCUUGAUGCUGGGAGGAGGAGGAGUCACCUGUUCUCCUGUGGUCUUUCACUGGUUUCCACAGUGGGUGGCUGGUCCAAUCCUUGGGUGCAACUUGGUCAGCUCCAGUGUGCUUUGUGGGGUCAUGUUUCUGAGCUGAAGUCAGCAGCAAGGGAACUCAUGGUCUACUUCUUUGACACACAUUCUUUUCAGUCUAUAUUUGUGGUUCAUGGAACUCCUAGAGGCAAACAUGGUGCCUGACCACAAUGGCAUUUGAUUUUUUGUUUACUCUGGUAUCAAUCAUAAUUUUCUUGUAGCAUUUGAAAGGAGAAAUCAUAUAUUUCUAAAAACCCUAUACAUCAAAUAAUAUGUUUUCAGUAAAUGUUGGUUUUUUACUGUGCCACCUAUUUUUUAUCAUAAUUAACUAUUGAACGAUGAACUAUCUUACAUAUACUUUUUAAACAGAAAAAAUCAAUACGAUGUUUUUUCACUUCAAACUUGCUAAGUCAUGACACAUAGGUUUCCUAUUACACAUGUGAAAUGAACACUGCUUUAGUAACAGUAUCAAUACAAGCAGAAAGGUAAAACAAAUCCUCUACUAAUUCAUGAAAUUGAACAGUUAUUUAAGCUAUUGGUUUGUUACAACAUGAGUUACUUGAUUGAUUUUAGCAUUAUGCUUCAUAUAUGUGUUUAUGUUUUAAUUUUGUAUUUAUUCAGUAUCAACGUAGAACAGUACAAAGAAAUUAUACUCACAAAAACAGUGCAAAGAAAUUAUCAGAAAACCCAACUAUUUUUUCUCAGCUUGCUUAUUGCCUUUUAUCAUAUAAUUGCAUUAAAUAUUUAUGAAUGUAUUUCCAUAAAGAUGCAGUAAUAAGCUGUAUACACUUUCGAGUCCUUUUUUCUUAGUAUUAAACAUUAUUUUCCAUGUUGCUAAUUUUAAUAUGUAUGAUUUUAAUAAUAUUUCAUCAACUAGAGAUUUCCCUAUGAGCUAGGUCAUUUCAUAGUUUUUCAAGAUUAUACAUAAUACUGAAAUAGCCAUUUUUAUAAACAUGGUAGAGUUUAUUCCCCUCUUGACUGAUUUUUUUAGCACUUAUAUUCCUCAGAAGAGCUCACUGAGUAGUAGAGAAUGAAAGUUGCAUAGUUUUGACCUGUGUCCCUGGGCUGUCUCCAAAAAGACUGUGUGUUCAACAAUGCUUUGCAGGCUCCUGUUUUCACAUGGUGACCUCUGCUAGCAAUAGUUCAAGUUUCAUGGGCAAUUUUUUCUCCUGGUGUGACUGAGUCUCCUCUUCUUGAGGUCUUCCAUUUCAAUUCUAAGAUAUAAAAUAUGAUUUUUCUGCAACUAGUAGACUAAUAGAAUUUUCUUUCUUUACCUUUCUUUCUUUCAUUUCACCUUAAGCAACUCUUGUUUUCUAACAGCAGAGCAGAUUAAUUUUUACAAAAAAAACCCAUUUUAAUUUAAAAAAAAAUGGAUGUAAUAAGUAAAACUUACUGAACAUUUACUAUGUUCUGGGCAUUUUAUAUGUAUUAACUUAUUGAAUCUUAACAACUGUAUAUUAUUCUCACUGUACACAUGAGAAUAUAGAGAUAAAACAGUCAAAUAAUUUGCCCUCUGUCCCACAGCUAGAGCGUGACAGAGCAGAGAUCCCAACCCAAAAGUCUGAUAUUAGAGUCCCACACUAAAUCAUGGUGCUUUUCUGGAAAUGACAGCAGAAAUUGAUGUCUGCUAAGUAGCAGUUACAUGGAAGACGUGUCUUUUUUUCUUGGGAAUUUAGAUUUAGAUUAGAAAUUGGCCAGAAAAUAAAUAGUCCUCCUUUAAUAAAUCUCUCCUGUCGUCAUCUCCCUAUCAUCCCCCA
rnacentral:lncRNA from 1 species